UACAGAGGUCUCAAGCGUUGUUCGGAUUCAUUGGGCGUAAAGGGUGCGCAGGUGGCGAGGCAAGUCGGAUGUGAAAUCCCGGGGCUCAACCCCGAAACUGCAUUCGAUACUGCCGUGCUUGAGGACUGGAGAGGAGACUGGAAUUUACGGUGUAGCGGUGAAAUGCGUAGAUAUCGUAAGGAAGACCAGUGGCGAAGGCGGGUCUCUGGACAGUGCCUGACGCUGAGGCACGAAGGCCAGGGGAGCAAACGGG
rnacentral:rRNA from 1 species